CCACGUGUCGUUCAAUGGCAGGACCCGACUCUGAUAAGGUCGAGAAGGUGGUUCGAUUCCACCCGCGUGGACCA
rnacentral:tRNA from 1 species